AUACAUUAAACUACCUAUGCGUAUGUUUUUAUUUCGGCGCCAUUUCUAAGAGGUUGGAGAUAAUAACAUAACCUCACGUUUGAAUUAUCAACUAUAUUGUAUGGCGAAUGUGAAUGGUGAUCCGUUGUUAUCAUUAUGUUUGAGUUUCAGUAAUAAUUUUUCGAUUUCGUCCAGUUAUAUUACGUUUUUCUUCGGUUUAUAGUGCAAAAUUGGAUUUGCUGCUCGGUGUGCGAACACGAAGUUUCAAUUUUGUAUUUUUAAAUAAUAAUAGUCCGUUUUGUGAACGCCGGAUUAUUGAACAUCGGUUGUAUAAAUAAUUGAGUGAAGUGGUUGUUUACAUAUUGUUCUUUUUUUUAAUUUUGUAGUGUUUUGUGGAUGUUAAAACUAUAUUAAAUAUGUGAUUAAAUUAUGUAUAGUGGAAAUUAGAACAUAAAUAAACAAUAGAAUAAUGCAUUUAAAUUAAUUUUGGUUUUAAACCAUUUACAAAAAGUUAAGUGUCGUUAGUAACUCUUUCCGUUAAAGUAAUAACCCGAGUAAUAAUUUAGGUAUAUGAAAAUUACUAAUGGGUACUUGUUACUUCGAUUCAAUUGAAAUUAAAAUAUUUUAGACCUAAAAUAUAAUUAUGGUAGUUUAAAACAAAUCACAAAAUUAAUUGUUAUUACUAUCAAUUGUAAAUUUGGAAAGCUAAAAUGCGUUGUUUCAUUGAAAUGGGUUUAAUAUAUAAACACAUUAAUUUCACUAACCAACUUUAAAAUGUUUUAUGUAUUCUGUGAUCAAUUCUAUAUGUAUGGUCAAUAGUUAUAUAAGAUUUUUAUAUUGUUUGUUUUGAUAUAUGUAAGUGAUUAUCUAAAUCAGUUUUGGUUUUUAUUUAGGAGUGGGUAUGUAAUAUACGCACACAUUUUAUCUGGCCCGCAGACAAAAAAAAAAAAAAAUAAAAACUGUUCAUACUUAAUAUUAUACCUUCUAGUGUUGUAAUUUAUCAUUUUGUUCAUUGGUUUUUACCAAUCUGCAAGUUUGAUGGCAUGCAAACAAUUUCAAGAUUCUUAAUGCGGCAUUUCAAAAAUAUUAAUUGGUGACCUCUGGUCUAGGGUGAUCAUAUUAAAUUUAAUGAAAUUCAAGAUCACAAAUUCCAACUUGUCCUAGCCAUUACUUUACUUCAUCUUACUAUUUCCAUGUGAACCAAAUAUACAGUUAAUCAUUUAAUACCUACUUUAUAACUCAAGUUAUCUAAUUUGUUUAUAUUUUUUAAACCUCCUUAAUUAACAAUUCAAUUUUUUCACUAUUUUGUAAAUGAUUUAAAAAAAAUUUGUUAUCAAUGUACAAUAAAAUCAGUUAUUGAAAUAAUAUCACACAUCGUUCUAGUUGGAUAUUUAUGUACUCAUAAUCUCAUUAUUUAUUUAGAAAAUAACUUUUUAGUGUUUUUAUAAGUGCUAAUUUUAUGAAAAUGGAGUGCCUGUUGUUUGCUGUGAAUAGUCAGGAUACGAAGAUACCUACUAUUGUAACUACUGGUGAUUUUCCAUGUUCAAUUUUACAGUUACAAAUGAG